AGUGCAAUGGAGAAGAAAGAGCAUGCUAAGCCUCAUUUACCCUCUUCACAGUAGAAUGAACACAGGCUUCGCUUUUCAUCCUGGCUUCAACUCUUACUCAGUGUAGAUACUGUGCUUUCUCCUGAACUUUGGUCAAACAAUUGUUGGUCAGGUAUUUAAGCAGCACUCAGACAGGCACCUCCACAUCCAGCCUGGGAGCUCUCAUCUGAAGCUGGGAUGUGCUUCACUGAACACAGCCUCUCUCUGCUGCUGGGCAGGUGCUGGCCUCCAAGAGGAUACAUUCCACAAGGUAAGAGAAAACAUGCCCCUGCCAUCUUAGGACUUGUACUCCAGUGACAGAGAGACUGAACUACCAAACAAGUAAACAAUUCAUCAUAAUAUGCCUCUUAAUUAGAUGAAUCAGGGUAAAGAAAGAGAGAAUACAUUAGUGGACAUAGUUUCACCUGAAAGAACGAAAUAAUGCUGAUUCAAAUGACUUAAACCACUGGUCCACAAACUGGCCCAUAGACCUAGCCUGACACCUGCUUUUGUAAAUAAAGUUUCAUUGGAACACA